CCAGCCGCAUCAGUUUGGGCAGGUCUUGAAGCGUCGGUGUGUCUCCGUUCCUUCAUCUGUAAAACGGAGCACGUGGUAGAGGAUAACGGGACCCGUCUCGUGGGGCUUGGAACAGGAAACGAGUUAGUCCACCCGAAAGUGCUUGGAGUGGACCUGGCACAUACCAAGUCCACCUCCCUGCGACUCCCACUCACCGAUCCCAGCUCUGCCAGAAGGCAAAUGUCAAAAAAAUAUUCUUGAAAGAGAGGACAUAGAAGACCCAAGUAUGCUGUCAG